rnacentral:rRNA from 1 species
GUUUUGGUGGUGGAGGAUGGGCUCGCGUCCUAUCAGCUUGUUGGUUGGGUGAUGGCCUACCAAGGCGUCGACGGGUAGCCGGCCUGAGAGGGCGACCGGCCACAUUGGGACUGAGAUACGGCCCAAACUCCUACGGGAGGCAGCAGUGGGGAAUAUUGCACAAUGGGCGGAAGCCUGAUGCAGCAACGCCGCGUGCGGGAUGACGGCCUUCGGGUUGUAAACCGCUUUCAGCAGGGACGAAGCGUGAGUGACGGUACCUGCAGAAGAAGCACCGGCUAACUACGUG